UCGAGCUGUGUGCGGGGGAGAUGGUGGGUGUUGAAUGGGUCGUUGGGUGGUGCCUGUUGCUGGGAUUACAAUUGGGGUCUCCCCGUUUGAUGGGUUUUUUUUUUCUUUUUUUUUUAAAGAGGCUUGCCGUUCUGUUUCCGUGUCGGUGCAGAUUGAAAGGAAGCGGAUCAACAUGCCGUGGAUGUUCAGGAACUCCGUUCGCAUGGUUGCCUUCUUCUUUAUCCUAUAGUUUCGUUGAGUUGGUAGUUUUUCACAGUUCAGCAACACAUUCAUCUGGUUUGGCCGUUUGGAUUUCGUGGGAGAAUUGAGAAUGUACAUUGCAGUCACCAUUAAGAGAUAUCAAGCAGUGAAGGAAGUUGGCAAAA